rnacentral:rRNA from 1 species
UGGGAACCUUCCCUAUGGUUCGGAAUAGCCCAGGGAAACUUGGGGUAAUACCGAAUAAGCCCUUCGGGGGAAAGAUUUAUCGCCAUUGGAUGGGCCCGCGUCGGAUUAGCUAGUUGGUGGGGUAACGGCCCACCAAGGCGACGAUCCGUAGCUGGUCUAAGAGGAUGAUCAGCCACACUGGGACUGAGACACGGCCCAGACUCCUACGGGAGGCAG